CUCUACCAAAAAUAUAACAAUUAGUAGGGCAUGGUGGCAUGCGACUGUAAUCCCAGCUAAUAGGGAGGCUGAGGGACAAGAAUCGCUGGAACCCAGGAGUCAAGGGCUGCAGUGAGCUGAAAUUGCACCACUGCACUCCAUCCUUGGCGACAGCAAGACUCUGUCUCAAGUAAAUAAAUAAAUAAAUACAACAUUCUUCGCAGCCCACCAUUGUUGGAGGUGUCCUAGGUACCCGGCUUCCUGCUCAAAGCUGCAGGCAAAGUGUUGGGGUCAUACAGGACUUGCCCGAGAACAGGAAACCCAAGUCAAACUGUGGAAGCUGUGAGGACAUCUGUUGGUUUCUGCAACUGGACGUCUGGAGGGAGUGUGAACUUCCGGUGGCAUCUGCUUCUCCCUUCCACUCCUGGGGCUCCAGCAUGGUGGGCCUCUCUCAGGAUGGGCUGGAGCACCGGCAGCUUCAGGCCUCAGGGGCCUUCGGCAACGUCCAGAGGAAGGAAACUGCCUCUUUCAGGAGCCUGUGGCACUAAGAGGAAGCCUUCUGCAGAUGCAGCCAGCAGGCUUCCCCACGGACCCCAGAGGCACAGCUGCUCCUGCCGGGAAGGGGUGUAAGUUCAACCACGGAGCAGCCACAGCCCUGCAGCAGCUGUGGGCUUGAGCUCCCCAGAAGCGCCUGGGAUCAGGAAGGUGCGGUGGCUCCUGGAGUGCUGAUGGGUGUGUCACAGGCAUGUGAACCAGAGCAACUCCAUCUUGAAUAGAGGCUGUAAAAUGAGGCUGAGACCUGCUGGGCUGCAUCUCCAGGUGAUUAAGACAUUCUAAGUCAUAGGAUGAGAUAGAAGGUCGGCACAAGACACAGGUCAUAAAGACCUUGCAGAUAAGACAGGUUGCAAUAAAGAAACCAGCCAAAACCCACCAAAACCAAGAUGGUGAUGAGAGUGACCUCUGGUCAUCCUCACUGGUACACUCCCACCAGCUCCAUGACAGUUUACCAAUGCCCUGGCAAUGCAGGAAGUUACCCUGUAUGGUCUAAAAAGGGGAGGCAUGAAUAAUCCACCCCUUGUUUAGCAUAUCAUCAAGAAAUAACCAUAAAAAUGGGCAACCAGCAGCCCUUGGGGCUGCUCUGUCUAUGGAGUAGCCAUUCUUUAUUCCUUUCCUUUCCUUUUUUUUUUCAAGACAGAGUUUCGCUUAUGUUGCCCAGGCUGGAGUGCAAUGGCGUCAUCUAGGCUCGCGGCAACCUCUGCCUCCUGGGUUGGGUAUCAGUUUAGACUGUGAAGUCUGGCUGAAGCCAACGGAUGCAGGACACAACAGUAAGGAUGAGCCAAAAGUGUAAGGAAUAAAUAUGUCUGCGUUUCCUUUGUUCACUGUCCUCUUGGGGCAAGACUGCUGGCGAGUGUACCCUUUCUGCAGAAAGUAAAAAUUGCCUUGCUGAGAGAAUUAAAUAUAUGUUCAAGUGCUAUUUCUUUAUGGCACCAGGGAACAAGCAUUUAGCAUUUCUAACACGGGUUCAAGUGAUUCUCCUACCUCAGCCUCCCCAGUAGCUGGGACUAUAGGCACCUGCCACCAUACCUGGCUAAUUUUUGUAUUUUUAGUGGAGAUGGGGUUUCACCAUGCUGGCCAGACUGGUCUCGAACUCCUGACCUCAGGUAAUCCACCCGCCUGGGCUUCCCAAAGUGCUGGGAUGACAGGCGUGAGCCCCUGUGCCUGGCCCGAUUUAUUCCUUUACUUUCCUAACAAAUUUGCUCUCACUUUGCAGACUUGGCCUGAAUUAUUUCUUGCGUGAGAUUCAAGGACUCUUAUUGGGGUCUGGAUCAGGAACCCUUUCUGGUAACAGAUGUGCCUGGGGGAGAAGGGGCCAGGAGGAAGGUGAUGCAGAGGCCACCUCCACUAACCCUCAACAGCGUACACCACCUCUGCCACUCCCACUUCACAGGCGAGAAAACCAAGGCUUAGUGCGGUGGGGCCAAGUGCUCAGCGGACACAGCUGGAGAGCGGCGGGCCAGGAUUCCGCAUAAAAAAAGCAGCCCUCUCAGAUCCUGGGAGGACAAACAGGAGAGCUCAUUCCCUAUUCUCCAGCUUCCAUCUCAAAGUCUCCAGGAACCCCCAGCAACCAAAAUAUUCUUGUAAGUGAAUAAGGAAAAGCAAAGCCAACAGGUGAUUCUCGAUGCUCCCGUAGGCCCCAGGGAGUGGAGAAGCACCACGCUCCAAGUGCCUGGACAGAGAGGGAUCUGCCAACGGGAGCUCGGUCAGAAAGAGGAGGAGGGGGAGCCAGGGCAGGGGGCAAAGAAAGAGAGUUCAGUGAGGGGGCAGCACGUGCCAAGGCCCCAAGGAGUGUCCCGGGCAUGGAAUGUUCCGGCAACCAAGAGAAGGCCGUGUGGGUUUGAGUGCAGACAAGGGGAAAGCGGCUCAGCACAGCCAGGGAAAGCCAGCCAGAGUGAGGGACAACGGCCCAGGAAUGGCUGGGGAGCUGCGGCUCUGUCUGGAAAGCAGUGGGUGGGCGUCACUGGCACCUGCUGCCAUCUAUGGAUUCACCCAAGCCAAGGAUGAAGAUGGGGAACCAGCAGGCUCAGGACACAACAUGGGCCCAUCCCUCGUUGACUCCCAUUAGCAGACAGCGACCCGUGCAUGAGCUGCUCUGGGGGACGGCAGCUUCUGGCUCAGGGGCCAGCCUGCGUGUCUCUGCCAUGGCGGGUCAUAACCUCAUCAGCCUCCUUCCUGAAACCCGAAUGCCACACGCCUGCUGAGUUUCUCAGGAUCUCACAAAUCCUACCCCAGUCCCCAACAUCCUGGCCAGCCUGACAGUUACUUCCUGGAGCAUCUUCCAGAGUUCCGUCGGGUUUGCUGACCCUGGUUGAGUGAUGGCAUUUUCUAGCUCUUUCUGUCUGUACCCCAGAAUGUAGCUUGUCUAAGCCCAGUGACUUAAGCCCAAUCUAUUCAUUUCACCACUGUCCCCUGGCAGGAGGAAUUCCUCUGAAAAGACCCCAGGAGCCUGGCGAGGGGUACGCUGGGGAGGCAGCUGGUGACAAGGCCUGGGCAGAAAGCCUGCUUUUCACUAAGAAUUCUUUGAACAUUUUGAAUUUUGUACUAUUUGCAGAUACUGCCUAUUCAAAAAUAAGUAAUUAAUUGAAACAAUGAGAUCAUUCUCUUUGAUACAAAAAGGCAAAACCCUAACCGGAGUCCUGUCGUUCUGCUGUUAUCUCAUCCCGGGCUGGAAUCUGGUCACCCCAAACUCCCCACGCCCCAGCCUCAGCGUCUCCAUCUGUAAACCAAGGCCCAGGCCCUCGGACCUUGGUGGGGGGGCUCCACUUUGUGAGUCUGACUUGUCAUAGCCUGAAGCUGUGGCCUGGGCCCCUGUCUCCGUCCCACUCGCAGGCUGGUUAAAUCCCGGGAGUCAAAACCUCCAGGAGCAGGUUCCGUGGUCUGAGAGUCCAGGACAGCUUGUCACUCAGCAAGACAGCCUGGCGGCGGUGGGGGGG
rnacentral:lncRNA from 1 species